GUACCGUUUAUAAGCUUGAGGAAACCUGCAGUCAGCUGAGACUGAAGUCGCCAUUUGGAUAAGUGAUUAAAAGCUUUUCCCACUGAAUCUGGAUGAUGAUAUUUCAGGAUUUCCCAAACUGAGUUACUGAACAUGCAUUUAAAGUUACCAAAAAGAUUCAGACUUAAGUUUUAGUUUAUGAAUUAGCAUUUUUAUUUUGUUUUGUUUAAAAAAAAAAAAAAAAAGCUUUGGCUCUAUGUUAAUGCAGACAUCAUCAUACUCUGCCCUGAUUCAUAUUUAAUCCAUGCUUAUUGAAUACUGAGCAAGACACAUGAAGCUCCAGUCAUCCUUUGGAGAGCUUAACAAGUCCUAGCCACAAAUGCCAUUAGUGAGCUCUUAGAUUAGUCUGUGAUGACUGGGUGGAUGACUGGAUGUGUAUAGAGCUUUGGAGUCCUUAGGGACUAGUAAAGCGCUAUAUAAAUACAGGCCAUUUACCAUUUAGAUUAUUAUUGAGAUCAUAUUUUUUAAAUUUAUGUGCAAACAAAAAACAAAAAACAAAAAAAUGGAAACACUAUUGGUGUGGAGCAGGGGUGGGGGAACUCCAGGCCUCAAGGUUUUCAAUAUCACCCUGGGUCAGCAGACCUGAAGCCAAUGAUUUGUUCAUUACUGGGCAUGUGGAGAAGGUAAGACAUGUUAAGGAGGUAAUUUACCCAUUUGAAUCAGCCGUUUUGGAUCAAGAACACAUCUAAAACCUGCAGGACACCAGCCAUUGAGGUCUGAAGUUCCCCACCCCUGGUGUAGAGGGAAAGCUCUACCAAGGCCCACACUGAGAAAUCAAAGUCACAUCAAAUCAUCUCAUUCAGUCUUUUCACAUACAAUUUGGUCAAACCACAACUAUGCAGAUAUUUUACUCCCCAUUUGAAUUGUAUUAAUAGCAAUAAUAAAAAAAAAAAACUAGCUCUACCUUCAUAAAUAUAACAAUUACCAGUAUUAAUACAAUAAAAUCAAAACGAUAACCUGCCAAAAAACAAACAAAAAUAACAACGUGUGUACUCACUUGUGGCAAAGGACUUAUUUUGACCCAUUAAGGUAAUAAGGCUCAUUUACACUGAGUCAAUCACUUUCAAUUUAAAGACCAAAUACCGAAAACGCUAAAAUAUUUCAACCUUAGAAUAUGACUGCAUUACAUAAUAAAAUUUCACACAGUGAAUACCACCAACAAAAUUAAAUAAAACUAAAUUAUGACUUCUGUAAGUCUGAAUCAAUGAUGUUUGUAGCUAUCGCGGAUGGCAGGCAAACAUUUCUGACACUUCAUGAUUACUACACCUCGGGUGUAUUUAAGGUAGUAAAGAGAACUUUUUUAAUAUUACUUAAAAAUAGUUCCCAUAAAUAAUAGUAGCUGAUUCAUAAAAGCUUAG
ensembl:lncRNA